rnacentral:rRNA from 1 species
GACGAACGCUGGCGGCGCGCUUAAUACAUGCAAGUCGAACGAGAAGCCAGAGCUUGCUCUGGUGGAAAGUGGCGAACGGGUGAGUAACACGUGAGAAACCUGCCCCAAAGAUUGGGAUAAGCCUUGGAAACGAGGUCUAAUACCAAAUACCUUCUUUUUAACACAUGUUAAAAAGAAGAAAUGCUCCGGCGCUUUGGGAUGGUCUCGCGAUCUAUCAGCUUGUUGGUGAGGUAACGGCUCACCAAGGCAUCGACGGAUAGCUGGUCUGAGAGGAUGUCCAGCCACAUUGGAACUGAGACACGGUCCAAACUCCUACGGGAGGCAGCAGUAGGGAAUCUUGCACAAUGAGGGAACCUUGAUGCAGCGACGCCGCGUGCGGGACGAAGGCCCUAGGGUUGUAAACCGCUUUCAGUAGGGACGAAAGUGACGGUACCUACAGAAGAAGCCCCGGCCAACUAUGUGCCAGCAGCCGCGGUAAU